rnacentral:rRNA from 1 species
GGGAGCUUGCUCCCUUAGGUCAGCGGCGGACGGGUGAGUAACACGUGGGUAACCUGCCUGUAAGACUGGGAUAACUCCGGGAAACCGGGGCUAAUACCGGAUGCUUGAUUGAACCGCAUGGUUCAAUCAUAAAAGGUGGCUUUUAGCUACCACUUGCAGAUGGACCCGCGGCGCAUUAGCUAGUUGGUGAGGUAACGGCUCACCAAGGCGACGAUGCGUAGCCGACCUGAGAGGGUGAUCGGCCACACUGGGACUGAGACACGGCCCAGACUCCUACGGGAGGCAGCAGUAGGGAAUCUUCCGCAAUGGACGAAAGUCUGACGGAGCAACGCCGCGUGAGUGAUGAAGGUUUUCGGAUCGUAAAACUCUGUUGUUAGGGAAGAACAAGUACCGUUCGAAUAGGGCGGCACCUUGACGGUACCUAACCAGAAAGCCACGGCUAACUACGUGCCAGCAGCCGCGGUAAUACGUAGGUGGCAAGCGUUGUCCGGAAUUAUUGGGCGUAAAGCGCGCGCAGGCGGUUUCUUAAGUCUGAUGUGAAAGCCCCCGGCUCAACCGGGGAGGGUCAUUGGAAACUGGGGAACUUGAGUGCAGAAGAGGAGAGUGGAAUUCCACGUGUAGCGGUGAAAUGCGUAGAGAUGUGGAGGAACACCAGUGGCGAAGGCGACUCUCUGGUCUGUAACUGACGCUGAGGCGCGAAAGCGUGGGGAGCGAACAGGAUUAGAUACCCUGGUAGUCCACGCCGUAAACGAUGAGUGCUAAGUGUUAGAGGGUUUCCGCCCUUUAGUGCUGCAGCAAACGCAUUAAGCACUCCGCCUGGGGAGUACGGUCGCAAGACUGAAACUCAAAGGAAUUGAC